rnacentral:rRNA from 1 species
AUGCCGCCGAGGGGGAGGAAGCACUGGUGCAAGCAGUGCAAGAGGAGCUUCCCUUCCGGGGCCUCACUCGGAGGCCACAUGGCGGUCCACAGGAGCCGGCGCAAGAAACAGCUGAGCGGCAACCCAAGAGUCGCCGGCGAGAGGUACGGCCUCCGGGAGAGGUGCCAGAAGACGUCGUGGCUGCUGGAUUCCGCUUCUAGCGACGACGAUCGAUGGGCGUUGUUCCCCAAGACUGAAUGCCAGUUGUGCUUCAAGUCCUUUGCCUCCCCUGACGCCCUGUCGAUGCACAUGAGGAUGCACAAGCGCCGCAGGAAGAUGGCUGUGGAGCACCAGGCAUCGGUAGGCGAUGGUGAUCACAAUGCUCCUCUGUCUGCUGCUCCAGUGAUGAAGAGGAAGAGGUCGAGGAGGAUGGUCAUGGACACUGUUCCUUCCCCGGUGAUGAAGUCAUAUGGGAUGGAGGAGGUUGAUGCCGCAUGGAUUCUUGUGUCGCUUUCAGGAGAUCAUGGCAUGUGCUCGGCUUCUGUUGAUUGUGGCGAAGGUGGUGAGAUGGACGUCAACGCGGCAUCGGCGUUCGAUACGCUCAUGACAGAGAUGGGGCUGAGUUCUCCUGAUCAUCAUGGCCCAGUUGGAGAUAAUGAGUUGAUGGAGCCAGAGCCUUCUAGCUCUUAUGAGGAAGGGAAGUUUGUCAGCCUUUCAAAGGUGUUGAAGGCAACAGCUAGCUAUGAGUGCAAGCUUUGUGGACAGGUCUUCACGUCUGGUCAGGGAUUGGGAGGCCACAGAAAGCGUCACAGUUUUGCCGAUCAUGGUAGAGUUCCAACCGUUCCCAAAUCUGCAGCGACUCAACCGUGCGAAGAGCUGCUUCCACCGGAUCGCCGGUCGCUCUCUCUCAGCCUGCCAGCUCCCAGCAUAUGGAACUGCAGCAGCACAAGGCCAAAGCCUGAACCGAAUCCGCUGUUGGUCGCAAGCAGCCUUUGGGAUGAACGAAUGCUGGGCGUUAUCUGA